UGAUGCUUGCUUCCACCAGUGCAACAUGAGCAGGUGUACGCCCAGCACGACGCUACAUAUGGCCGAAAAGCACAAGACAUUUCUCAGGGACUUCGACAAGGAGGCACAUUACUCCACUGUUCGGUCAAUGGUGGAAGCUUCCGACUUCUUUCGGCUAUUUCGGAGGAAACUGACAACGUCACUCGGAGAAGAGCAGAUUCUGGCCUGUUUCAUGAUAGCCCUGAAAGUGUCACUUGCUCAUUGCCACGGGGCCCUGGACACCAUGUUGACAUACAUAAGGUGGUACAGCGAACUGAAUUAAAGAGAGAAAACGUACUUCUUUAGUGGAGAAGAAUUGCACAGUGAUGUACAAGCAUUCUGUGUGGCCCUCUCCCCAAGAAUGCCAAUGGAUUAUGCAUCAGAAGAAAUCAAGUUUUCUUAGAAGUUACAGUGUCUUACACAUUUACAUAGAAACACGUCACACAAGAAAUUCACAUAGCCCUCGUUGGUGAUGUGAACAGUUUAUACACCUUUCAAAGUACAAAACACUUUUUGACACACAAGUAUUGUAUGCAGCACGUUUUUUUCAGAACAUGAUGUCUUGGAAGCUGUGCUUAAUUACAUAACAGCCA